AAAAGUUCGUAACAAGGUUUCCGUAGGUGAACCUGCGGAAGGAUCAUUACCCCUUGAGGGCCCUCUGGGUCCAACCUCCCACCCGUGUUUAUCGUACCUUGUUGCUUCGGCGGGCCCGCCUCACGGCCGCCGGGGGGCAUCCGCCCCCGGGCCCGCGCCCGCCGAAGACACCAAUGAACUCUUGUCUGAAGAUUGCAGUCUGAGCAGAUUAGCUAAAUCAGUUAAAACUUUCAACAACGGAUCUCUUGGUUCCGGCAUCGAUGAAGAACGCAGCGAAAUGCGAUAAGUAAUGUGAAUUGCAGAAUUCAGUGAAUCAUCGAGUCUUUGAACGCACAUUGCGCCCCCUGGUAUUCCGGGGGGCAUGCCUGUCCGAGCGUCAUUGCUGCCCUCAAGCACGGCUUGUGUGUUGGGCUUCGCCCCCCGGCUCCCGGGGGGCGGGCCCGAAAGGGAGCGGCGGCACCGCGUCCGGUCCUCGAGCGUAUGGGGCUUUGUCACCCGCUCUGUAGGCCCGGCCGGCGCCCGCCGGCGACCCCAAAUCAAUCUAUCCAGGUUGACCUCGGAUCAGGUAGGGAUACCCGCUGAACUUAAGCAUAUCAAUAA
rnacentral:rRNA from 1 species